rnacentral:rRNA from 1 species
UACGUAGGGUGCAAGCGUUAAUCGGAAUUACUGGGCGUAAAGCGUGCGCAGGCGGUUAUGCAAGACAGAGGUGAAAUCCCCGGGCUCAACCUGGGAACUGCCUUUGUGACUGCAUAGCUAGAGUACGGUAGAGGGGGAUGGAAUUCCGCGUGUAGCAGUGAAAUGCGUAGAUAUCGGGAGGAACACCAGUGGCGAAGGCGGUUGCCUGGAGCUUUGCUGACGCUGAUGCGCGAAAGCGUGGGGAGCGAUCCGG